CCUACGGGAGGCAGCAGUCGAGAAUCAUUCACAAUGGGGGAAACCCUGAUGGUGCGACGCCGCGUGGGGGAAUGAAGGUCUUCGGAUUGUAAACCCCUGUCAUGUGGGAGCAAAUUAAAAAGAUAGUACCACAAGAGGAAGAGACGGCUAACUCUGUGCCAGCAGCCGCGGUAAUACAGAGGUCUCAAGCGUUGUUCGGAAUCACUGGGCGUAAAGCGUGCGUAGGCUGUUUCGUAAGUCGUGUGUGAAAGGGGCGGGCUCAACCCGCGGAUGGCACAGGAUACUGCGAGACUAGAGUAAGGGAGGGGGAGCCGGAAUGCGCGGUGUAGCAGUGAAAUGCGUAGAUAUCGGGAGGAACACUCGUGGCGAAGGCGGGUUACUGGACAUUAACUGACGCUGAGGCACGAAGGCCAGGGGAGCGAAAGGGAUUAGAUACCCUUGUAGUC
rnacentral:rRNA from 1 species